CUCAAGAAAUCACUAUUCCUAAAAGAACUUCAAAUCUGGGUCGUCUAUUCCACUCUCUCUCCAUUUUCACUCUUUAAUCUUGGCCACUCACUUGUGAGACUUUUUUUGCCUCUAUUCUACUCGGGGUUCUCUGUAUGGUUGGCGUCACAUAGCGCGUUGAUGGAGUAUGGGAUGAAGGUCAUAAUUGUUUCCCUGCUAAGCGUUCGUGAGUUAUCAUCAUGCCUGCAGGUCCUGUCCCUGUUGCGUGUUUAAGGAGGAAUUCAAAAUUUUAGGUUUUCCUGUUCGACCAGGAUUUGGGGUAAAAUUCGUCAUUCUGACCUAAGUUUCUUUAAGCCAUUGUGAGGUAGGUGAUGAAUCGAAGGAGGAAAAUAGAACUGUUGAGGAAGGUUUUGGAUUUGUUCAGAAUGUGUUGUCUGAAGGAGGAGAAUAGAUUUGUAUCAGAAGCCAUGUCAGCUUAUGCAAAGGGCAAGAUACAUGGAAAGUUAAGGUUCGCGUUCUUUGAUUGUGGGAAAUGUUUCCUGUUGAUGAACCUGGCAAAGCAUAUGCUAUUAAUCUUGUCUUGAUCGAUUCACAGGGUGUCAAAAUUGAGGCUUGUAUUAAGAAGAACUAUCUCAGUAAGUUCAGGAGUGAAUUCUCAGAGGGUGGUGUGGUGUAACUUAUUUUGGUGUUUCUGAAAACUCCGGCGCAUUUCGUGCAUCAGAUCAUGAGUUCAAGAUUUUCUUCAAUUUGAGGACACGGGUUGUGCCUGAAUCUUCAGAUGUUAUUCCAACGAUUGGGUUAUCCUUGAAAAACUCUGCUGACAUUGAAGCUACUCUUGGAGAAUCAGAUUUUCUCAUAGGUAAGUUAACUCCUUCCAUUUCAAUGAAGGAUUUUUUUUUUGGUAUGAUGAUGAUGAUUAUGAGUUUAAGUUUUAUGUUUUUUAUACUUAUCUGUGGUGUAUUACAUUGUGUUGUAAUUGGAAUGCCUUUUUGUUGCAGUUUAAUUUGUUUUGAUAUUAUAAUUGUAUUAAAUUAGGAAUCCAAGCAUUAUAGAGAAAUUCAAGGUAGCAGUUAGCACUCAUUGUAGAAAAGAUGGGAGGGUCUCUUUUUGGGUGAUUUAGGGAUAUGUGGAGAAGACUUGUAUAGACGCAUCGGUAAGGAGGGAAUACCAGAUAAGGUAGACCAGUAGUUAGAGAUAGAGGGACACCAAGAAAAAUUAUACGCCAAACCAUGUAUAGAUUUGGAUUUAAAUUGUCUAUCUUUAGACAUUAUUCAUGAUAAGAUAUUACGGUGUUGUUUAAUCCAUGUAGCUAAUUCCACCUAUUGGGUGAUGUGCAGGUAAAUAGAGUUUCCAGUUCCUCUAUACUUCUCAUUCCAAAUAUAUAUUUGAUGUGCAGGUAUGAAGACAUUCUUCUAUCCUUGUGGAACAUUUUCAAAGAAUUCUACUGUUGCAAAAAUCAGACCCAUAUGCAUCUGCCUUGAAUGAGGCAACACCAGGAAGUGUUAAGUCAGUUUUCAAAGCUUGGGACGACCGUUUGAAUUCUUCUGGGGAUCACUUGGAAACCAAGGGUGUAACGGUGGCCCAAACACUGGCAGACUUAGCGCUCUGGCCAAUAAGCCAAAGCUAUUCAGUGGCUUAAAGUUUUACUUUUCGAGUGAUUAUGUGACGAGUUAUAAGGAAGAUCUUGAAGAUUUAGUUGACGUGGGAAGAGGUGCAGUUUUGAGAAGCAAGGAUAAAUUGGAAGCUAAAAGACAUGAAUUUGAAGUGGCUUCAAAUUUGUUGAUUGUUUACAAUCUUGAUCCGCCACAAGGAAAAAAAUUGUGGGGGAUGAAGUUUCAACUCUUUGGCAGAGACUAAAUGCGGCAGAAGAUCUAGCUGCCAAUACUGGUUCCCAAGUCAUUGGUCACGCAUGGAUUCUGGAGUCAAUUGCUGCGUGUAAGUUGUAGCCUUUUGUUAGCUAAAACGCAUUCUGUAGCAGAUAUUUUUUCCCUCUGUUGAUAGGGUCUUUAUUCUGCAAAAGAUUUGAUCACUUAUGUACAGAAUGUCAAUUGAAUUUAUAUCUUAUGUAAGCUAUGAUAUUGAGGGAUGCUAGCAAUAUGUUUGACUGUUGGUUAUUUAGUGAAAUGUAUUUGUGAUUUACUAAAAAAAAAACAAGAUCACUUGGAAAGCAAUGAGGGUGAUCUUAAGUUACUUGCAUUCAUUCCGUAAGUUUCUAUGCCCUACACUCAUCUUGUGUUGUUAUAUACACAUGCUAAGAUGGCAUGUUUGGAAUAUAGUGGGUGGAUAUAGUUGUCAAUUUA